GCUGUGCUGUGAAGAGGAAGGGACAGGAGGUUGUGCGAGGAGCAGAAAGGGACAGACAUCGUACAAGGGACAGACGGGGUCAGAUGGCCCUGUGAGGGACAGGGAGCAGAAACUGUGAAAGAAAGGAGGAGCCAGAGCUGCGUGCAGCUGUUGAUGGGACUGCAACAUAGAAAAGUUGCAUAAGAGGGAGGAACAGAGGAGCCCAAGGAGCAGAUUGCUUUGCAGAAGCGCGGAACAGGCGCCGCCGGAGCCGCUGCCCCUCCUGCUGCCCCAGCCCGACGCCUUCAGCUGGAGGAGGCUCCGGUGGAGGAGCUGGGUGUAGCUGUGUCCUCCGGGUCAGCGUGUGCAGGACAGGGAGACCAGAGGCUCUUCCCAGCCCGCCUGGACACCUCCUGGCCGUGCCCAGACUACAGACAGCCCAGCCCUGGCCCCUCUGGGGCAGGAGCUCUGGGGGCUUCCCAGCGGGUGCCAUUCCCAGCACCAGGAGGAGGAAGGGAUCAGUAUCCAUCAGCUGCGCCCCCCUGACCCGACCCCAUCGAUUGUACCGAUCCCAGCGUGAGGAGAUGUGUGAGGCGAUCAAUGUCCCUCAGCCCUACCUGAGGGUUUGGUUUAACCCUUCCCGCGCCCCAGUGCGGGUCCCUGCGCUCCCCCGGGGCUCCUGCCCUGGUCCUGCUGGGCUGC